rnacentral:rRNA from 1 species
CAGCCGCCGCGGUAAUACGAAGGGUGCAAGCGUUACUCGGAAUUACUGGGCGUAAAGCGUGUGUAGGUGGUUGUUUAAGUCUGUCGUGAAAGCCCUGGGCUCAACCUGGGAAUUGCGAUGGAUACUGGGCGACUAGAGUGCGGUAGAGGAUAGUGGAAUUUCCGGUGCAGCAGUGAAAUGCGUAGAGAUCGGAAGGAACAUCUGUGGCGAAGGCGACUAUCUGGGCCAACACUGACACUGAGACACGAAAGCGUGGGGAGCAAACAGGAUUAGAUACCCCUGUAGUCCCUGUCUCUUAUAU